rnacentral:rRNA from 1 species
UGGGAAUCUUCCGCAAUGGGGCGAAAGCCUGACGGAGCAACGCCGCGUGAGUGAUGACGGCCUUCGGGUUGUAAAGCUCUGUGAUCGGGGACGAAUGGUCCGUAAGCUAAUAUCUUAUGGAAGUGACGGUACCCGAAUAGCAAGCCACGGCUAACUACGUGCCAGCAGCCGCGGUAAUACGUAGGUGGCAAGCGUUGUCCGGAAUUAUUGGGCGUAAAGCGCGCGCAGGCGGCUUUCCAAGUCCAUCUUAAAAGUGCGGGGCUUAACCCCGUGAUGGGAUGGAAACUGGAAAGCUGGAGUAUCGGAGAGGAAAGUGGAAUUCCUAGUGUAGCGGUGAAAUGCGUAGAGAUUAGGAAGA